UUUUACUCGGUGCCCGCAGCGCCGGGGCGUGGAGGCGUUAACGCGCACGCGCUUAGGGAUCCGGCCGUGGCCGAGCGCGCGGCCGUAAGACCGCGGGUGACUAGCAUGCAGAUACCCAUGCUCUGACUUUCUGCCCCUCCACUGACAUGGCCCACCGGGGUGGGGAGAGGGACUUCCAGACUUCAGCUCGACGCAUGGGCACCUCGCUGCUCUUCCAGCUUUCAGUGCAUGAACGGGAGCUGGACCUGGUUUUUCUGGAUCAUAGCUAUGCCAAGCCUUGGAGUGCCCACCCAGAUGCCAGUAGUGCCCGCCCCACCCGCAUGCUCUUUGUCACUCCCCGGCGGCAGCACGAAAGUACCAUGUGAGUUGGGGCUUCUAAGGGCUGCUGGUAACCUCACUGGGCAGUGAUCAGAUGGGAAUUUAGAGAGGAUUUUCUCAGGAUUGACUGGGGGAGAUUGUAUGAGGCAUUUGGAUGUUAAAUUCAGGCAUCUCUUAAGCAGCAUAAGGAUAGCAGGCUUGAAUGUGGCUAUCUCUGUGAGACAG
rnacentral:lncRNA from 1 species